rnacentral:misc_RNA from 1 species
UUUCCGUAGGUGAACCUGCGGAAGGUUCAUUAAAGUUAUAUUCCCCCGGGCCUCUUGGCUGUCGUCUUCCAUACCCCCCUUUGUAUAUUAUUCCUUUAUUGCUUUGGCAGGCCAGCCCUCGGGCUGCUGGCUCCGGCCGGCUCGCGUAUACCAGAGGAUCUAAACCCUGUUUUUAUAUGAAGUAUGAGUACUAUAUAAUAGUUAAAACUUUCAACAACGGAUCUCUUGGUUCUG